rnacentral:SRP_RNA from 1 species
GCUGGGCAUGGUGGCGCAUGCCUGUAGUCUCAGCUACUUAGGAGGCUGAGGUGGGAGGAUCACCUGAGCCUGGGAAGUCAAGGCUAUAGUGAGCAGUGAUUGCACCACUGUACUCCAGCCUGGAGGACUAGAGUGAGACCCUGUCUCAAAAAGAUUUUUUUUUUUUUGAGACAAAGUCUCACUCUUGUCCUCCAGGCUGGAGUGCAAUGGUGCUGUCACAGCCCACUAUAGCCUUGACUUCCUUGGCAGGGGAGAACCGACCACAU